CAGCAGUCGCCGCGGGAAUACGAAGGGUGCAAGCGUUAAUCGGAAUUACUGGGCGUAAAGCGUGCGUAGGCGGUUUGUUAAGUCUGCUGUGAAAUCCCCGGGCUCAACCUGGGAAUGGCAGUGGAUACCGGCAAGCUAGAGUGUGUCAGAGGAUGGUGGAAUUCCCGGUGUAGCGGUGAAAUGCGUAGAGAUCGGGAGGAACAUCAGUGGCGAAGGCGGCCAUCUGGGACAACACUGACGCUGAGGCACGAAAGCGUGGGGAGCAAACAGGAUUAGAUACCCGGGUAGUCCCUGUCUCUUAUAC
rnacentral:rRNA from 1 species